rnacentral:rRNA from 1 species
UACGUAGGGGGCAAGCGUUGUCCGGAUUUAUUGGGCGUAAAGAGCGUGUAGGCGGCCUUACAGGUCAGCUGUGAAAACUCGAGGCUCAACCUCGAGACGUCGGUUGGAAACCGUAUGGCUAGAGUCCGGAAGAGGAGAGUGGAAUUCCCGGUGUAGCGGUGAAAUGCGCAGAUAUCGGGAAGAACACCCGUGGCGAAGGCGGCUCUCUGGGACGGUACUGACGCUGAGGUGCGAAAGCG